ACUCCUACGGGAGGCAGCAGUGAGGAAUAUUGGGCAAUGGGCGCAAGCCUGACCCAGCCACGCCGCGUGUGUGAUGAAGGCCUUCGGGUCGUAAAGCACUGUGGAGAGGGACGAAAGUGCACAUCAGGAAAUGGGUGUGUUUUGACGGUACCUCUUUAGCAAGCACCGGCUAACUCUGUGCCAGCAGCCGCGGUAAUACAGAGGGUGCAAACGUUGCUCGGAUUUACUGGGCGUAAAGCGCAUGUAGGCGGAUUCGCAAGUCGGGUGUGAAAUCCCUGGGCUCAACCCAGGAACUGCAUUCGAAACUGCUUAUCUAGAGUAAUGGAGAGGGUGGCGGAAUUCCCGGUGUAGAGGUGAAAUUCGUAGAUAUCGGGAGGAACAUCAGUGGCGAAGGCGGCCACCUGGACAUUUACUGACGCUGAGAUGCGAAAGCGUGGGGAGCAAACAGGAUUAUAUACCCUGGUAGGCUCU
rnacentral:rRNA from 1 species